GUGAAAGGCGACGUUGCUGAUUUGCUGGGCGCACAAUCCUGUGGCAAACGAAACCUCCGUUGGCUGUGCUCUGCAGGAUGAGGGGACUCAGCACCAACAACAACCACCCUAUAACACCGACACCUCUUUUGUUUUUCGAAGAUAUGUGACACCAACAGCUCACGCCUUUGCUCUUCUUCACUCUUAUUCGAAAUCACUAUGAUAUUCUCUGACUGAAACUGCAUUUCUUUAUGUACAGAUGAUAUGAGUCCCUCGUCUUUAACCAGCUGCUCAGUCUGCUGGAGCUCUUCUAGCUUGUUGGUAUCAAAUGCUUUUGUGGCCAAUGAAGGCAAGAAGAUGAUAGGCUACCCAAAAGGGGCUUCGAGGCUGAGGCUAGUAAGGGCAAGCAUCUCUAGUGAUUCUCUAAUUGUUCAGGCUGCAAGAGGUGAUCCUAUCAGCUGGCCUCCUGCAUGGAUGAUGCGUCAAGCUGGAAGAUAUAUGACUGUUUACAGAAAGCUUGCAGAGAAAUACCCAUCCUUUAGAGUGCGGUCUGAGACAGUUGAUCUCAUUGUGGAAAUCUCUUUGCAGCCAUGGAAGGCCUUUCGUCCUGAUGCUGUUAUGAUAUUCUCAGAUAUACGAACUCCCUUACCUGCAUUUGGGGUCCCAUUUGACGUAGAGGACGUAAAGGGACCAAUUAUUACUUCCCCAAUACGUUCCGAGGAAAGAUUAAAGGCCCUGCAUCCUAUUGAGUUGGACAAAGUACAUUUUGUAGGGGAAUCUCUAAGAAUUUUGCGAAAUGAGGUAGGAAGUGGAGCAGCAGUCCUGGGUUUUGUGGGUGCACCAUGGACGAUUGCUACAUACAUUGUAGAAGGUUGUACAAUUCAUACAUAUACAACUAUUAAAGGCAUGUGCCACACUGCACCACAUGUAUUGAAGGGUCUCCUCUGUCAUCUUACACAGGCAGUAACUGACUAUAUUGUUUUUCAAAUAUUUGAUUCAUGGGGUGGCCAGCUGACACUUGAUAUGUGGGAGAAGUGGUCCAAACCAUAUAUCACAGAGAUGGUGAGUAAAGUAAAAAAGGCGUGUCCACAAAUACCACUGGUGCUCUAUGUAAAUGGAAAUGGAGGUCUUCUUGAACACAUGAAAGGAACUGGAGUUGAUGUAAUUGGGCUCGAUUGGACUGUGGAUAUGGAAGAUGGUAGGAGGCGCUUAGGAGAUGGGAUUGGCUUGCAAGGAAAUGUCGACCCUGCUUUUCUCUUUUCUCCGCUUCCUGCACUAACUGACGAAAUUCAACGGGUUGUGAGAUGUGCUGGGCACAGGCACAUACUUAACUUUGGACUUGGCGUACUCGUGGGUACUCCCAAAGAGGCUGUUGCUCAAUUCUUUGAUGAUUAACUUUUUGGAGAAGGCUUGGCCCCAGAUCUUGUUUCUGUAUUUUGACUUCAGCUUUAAACAUUUCAUUUCUUCGCGCUUCAUAUCAGUAGAGUUCCCUUUUCUUGUUUGUCAAGUGAGAAUUUUGAUUUAUUGGAGUUGGCUUCUGUGUUCUAGGAGAGGUUAAAUGUGUAUCCCCUUGAGGCUGGGUUUGCAGCCGUGGCCAAUGUCCAAAUGAGCACACCCCUAGAUAAAUUUUGAUGCGGACCAAACCAUUGUUUCGAGACUCGGCCGGGAGUACUCGGCCUUACUCUAGGGGCAAGUUGGCUUGUCUGCUUGGCACGUUAUUGAUGAUGGUGCAACUUAAAGAAUGAAACCCACCACUUAUCUUGAGAAUGCUUCAAAUAGGCCCCAUUGUAGCUUUAAAAAUCCCUUUUCCUCUUAUAAUUAAGAGCAUGGGUAUCAUUCCACUUGAUUAUGACAUUUGAUGAGUGCCAAUUAUCAUGAUUGUGCAAAAGGCAUGAAUAUUGGGACACCCAAACGGGGUCUGAGUUUCAUAAAGUGGUUUGCUUA